rnacentral:rRNA from 1 species
CCUACGAGAGGCAGCAGUGAGGAAUAUUGGUCAAUGGGCGCUAGCCUGAACCAGCCAAGUAGCGUGAAGGAUGACUGCCAUAUGGGUUGUAAACUUCUUUUAUAUGGGAAUAAAGUGCAGUAUGUAUACUGCUUUGCAUGUACCUUAUGAAUAAGGAUCGGAUAACUCCGUUCCAGCAGCCGCGGUAAUACGGAGGAGCCGAGCGUUAUCCGGAUUUAUUGGGGUUAAAGGGAGCGUAGGCGGGUUGUUAAGUCAGUUGUUAAAGUUUGCGGCUCAACCGUAAAAUUGCAGUUGAUACUGGCAUCCUUGAGUACAGUAGAGGUAGGCGGAAUUCGUGGUGUAGCGGUGACAUGCUUAGAUAUCACGAAGAACUCCGAUUGCGAAGGCAGCCUGCUGGACUGUAACUGACGCUGAUGCUCGAAAGUGUGGGUAUCAAACAGGAUUAGAUACCCCAGUAGUC